UCGGUCGUCGCGUUCCAGUUUAUCCGAUGGCAUAUGUUGAUUAGCCGGGUCGUUUAGCUAACCAUUGAUUACUGACCAUAAAACUAGUGAUAUCAUCCAUUUACGGUGUAAAUGUGGAAACAAUUCAAAUUGCACGCGUUUUUGAAAACAAGGUUCUUGAAAUAUAAGAGACACGUCUUAAAAUCAGCGGCGUCUUGUGAUCAAUGUAACAUGAUAUUUAAUAUUCACAAAAUCCAUUCGAGAUCACCAUAGGAUAAUGGUCGAAUUUGGCAAAACAUUGGUACUCACCGCAUACACUACUGAUUUUGGUGAAGAAGUAAAAAAGAAUACUAUUCCUGAUUUACGUCAGGAAAAACUCAAAGGAGGAGGGAAUCCACAAGCGAUAGUUUACUAGUAAACAAAAAGUCAACGACAUACAAAAAUGUCAUCAGGGCUGAAGGAAACGAAUUCUGGAUGCAUGCCAAUUGACAGAAUUAGACCUGUACACGUGGAUAGAGCUUGUGCUGUUUUUAUCUGACUUUUUUGACGUUUAUCAGUGAACGAACGGUGAGGUGACGAAAAUGAAUGAUGUUGCUCCACGGAAAGUAUUUCGAAAGCCCCGAAUAUCUAAGAUGCAUUAAAUUAUAAUGAGCACAAAUAUCGGAAUAAAGACACCUAAGAUGUUUAUGGUUUAUUUUCAAACUACAUCAAAACUAUCACACCAUAACUUUUCUUAUGUGGUAUAGCAGUAAGAUUUGCAUAUUUAUUUUAAUUAUAUACCCAUAUAAUUGUUAUUUUGAUACUAACAUUUUAAAAUAUAUGAUAACAUAAGGAGUUAUGUUUGAACUUCCUUCCAGAAUCAUUGUACUUCAAGUCGCUCACCGUUUUAAAUUUUAUAGACGUAACUAAUGAACCAAAUUUAUGAAAUCAGUUUUUUAAAUAGUAGUGGCCAUCUUAAAAGACAAGCCUUGCCCUAUAUAAUAAAAUAUAAUGUUAUGAUGUU